rnacentral:lncRNA from 1 species
UAAACGAUAAUUUACCGAAUUUCUCAGGUAUAAUUUCCUUCUUUCUCCUGAAAUGUUUGGGCAAGCACUGCUUGCCUUGCUUAUCCGGACCGCACGCCACUGGCAGUGAGUCUCUGAAAGUUGUACAUAUCUUGUUCAUCUUCAAUCAUCUCUGCUCACACUGAUUAAAACUUUUUCCCUAUUCUUUUGUUGCAGAUCUCAAUUUUAUUAUUAUGCAGGCAGUUCUUUUACUAUCGGUUUUGGUUAACAGAUCAAAUAGCGUGGAGAAAAUCAUCAUUCACUAUUCUUUCGUGCCAGUAAUUACAACAGUUAUCAAAAUGAUCCUCCACGGCAGUUUAGUAGGAGAAAUGAACCCUCUACACAGUCAACUA